rnacentral:rRNA from 1 species
UACGUAGGGUGCGAGCGUUGUCCGGAAUUACUGGGCGUAAAGAGCUCGUAGGUGGUUUGUCGCGUUGUCCGUGAAAACUCACAGCUUAACUGUGGGCGUGCGGGCGAUACGGGCAGACUGGAGUACUGCAGGGGAGACUGGAAUUCCUGGUGUAGCGGUGGAAUGCGCAGAUAUCAGGAGGAACACCGGUGGCGAAGGCGGGUCUCUGGGCCGUAACUGACGCUGGAGGAGCGAAAGCAUGGGGAGCGAACAGG